rnacentral:rRNA from 1 species
AAUCAACGCUGGCGGCGUGCCUCAGACAUGCAAGUCGAACGAUUAAAGCUCUCUUCGGAGAGUGUAUAGAGUGGCGCACGGGUGAGUAACACGUAAGUAAUCUACCUUCGAGUGGGGAAUACCGUCCGGAAACGGACGCUAAUACCGCAUAAUGCAUUAGCAUCGCAAGAUGCCAUUGUUAAAGAUUUAUCGCUUGAAGAGGAGCUUGCGGCAGAUUAGCUAGUUGGUAAGGUAACGGCUUACCAAGGCUACGAUCUGUAACCGGUCUUAGAGGACGGUCGGCCACACUGACACUGAAUAACGGGUCAGACUCCUACGGAGGCAGCAGUAAGGAAUCUUCCACAAUGGACGAAAGUCUGAUGGAGCAACUCCGCGUGCAGGAUGAAGGCCU